rnacentral:lncRNA from 1 species
UAACUGUGUCUAUAAAAUCCACAUUCCCUGCAGUAACCUAAAGAGCUGCUGACUGAUUCAGCUUACUCAUCACCAUUCAUCCUGCUGCUGAUGUUCUUGACUGAGGACAAAUCAACAAAUGCUAUGAGACUCCUUAGAAUAUGUUUCUAUAAGAAGAAGAUGGCUUGAGGACAUCUCAGAAAUCAGCAGGACCUCACCCAACCCUGGCUCAAGAACACUGGAAAAAUCUAGCCUUUAAUUUGAGAAGAGAGCCCCUAAAAUUCAUGCUCAAGAAGAAAUUCCUAAGUAUUUGAUUCCAUAUGAUUUAUUUCACAGUGCUCGGGCAUUCAGGUACUUGGAAAUCAACAGAGCCACAGUCCAAGAGGGCUUUGGUAUUGUUCCCAUUGGCAGCAAAC